rnacentral:rRNA from 1 species
UGGGGAAUAUUGCGCAAUGGGCGAAAGCCUGACGCAGCGACGCCUCGUGAGGGAUGAAGGUCUUCGGAUCGUAAACCUCUGUCAAGAGGGAAGAAACCCUUGGGUUCAAAUAGGGCCCUUGGCUGACGGUACCUCAAAAGGAAGCACCGGCUAACUCUGUGCCAGCAGUCGCGGUAAGACAGAGGAGGCAAGCGUUGUUCGGAAUCACUGGGCUUAAAGGGUGCGCAGGCGGUUUUGUAAGCCAGAUGUGAAAUCCCCGGGCUUAACCUGGGAACUGCAUCUCAUACUGGGAGGCUAGAGUACUGGAGAGGGUGGUAGAAUACCACGUGUAGCGGUGAAAUGCGUAGAGAUGUGGAGGAAUACCAGUGGCGAAGGCGGCCACCUGGACAGUAACUGACGCUGAGGCGCGAAAGUGUGGGGAGCAAACA